CGUAGGGAGCAAGCGUUGUCCGGAAUCAUUGGGCGUAAAGCGCGCGUAGGUGGCCUCAUAAGUCCGCUGUGAAAGUCAAAGGCUCAACCUUUGAAAGCCGGUGGAUACUGUGAGGCUAGAGUACGGAAGAGGCGAGUGGAAUUCCUGGUGUAGCGGUGGAAUGCGCAGAUAUCAGGAGGAACACCAAUAGCGAAGGCAGCUCGCUGGGACGUUACUGACACUGAGGCGCGAAAGCGUGGGGAGCGAACAGGAUU
rnacentral:rRNA from 1 species